rnacentral:rRNA from 1 species
UCGAGCGGACUGGAGAGAGCUUGCUCUCAAAGGUUAGCGGCGGACGGGUGAGUAACACGUGGGCAACCUGCCCGACAGACCGGGAUAACGCUUGGAAACGAGUGCUAAUACCGGAUAGGCUUCACCUUCGCAUGAAGGAGAAGAGAAAGAAGCUUUCGCUUCACUGUCGGAUGGGCCCGCGGCGCAUUAGCUAGUUGGUGAGGUAACGGCUCACCAAGGCGACGAUGCGUAGCCGACCUGAGAGGGUGACCGGCCACACUGGGACUGAGACACGGCCCAGACUCCUACGGGAGGCAGCAGUAGGGAAUCUUCCACAAUGGGCGCAAGCCUGAUGGAGCAACGCCGCGUGAAUGAUGAAGGCCUUCGGGUUGUAAAAUUCUGUCUUCUGUGAAGAACAAGUGUGAGAAGGGAAUGCUCACACCCUGACGGUAACAGAGGAGGAAGCCCCGGCUAACUACGUGCCAGCAGCCGCGGUAAUACGUAGGGGGCAAGCGUUG